UACAGAGGUCUCAAGCGUUGUUCGGAUUCAUUGGGCGUAAAGGGUGCGUAGGCGGCUUCGUAAGUCGGCCGUGAAAUCUCCAGGCUUAACCUGGAGGGGUCGGGCGAGACUGCGGAGCUCGAGGUGGGCAGAGGGCAGUGGAAUUCCGGGUGUAGUGGUGGAAUGCGUAGAGAUCCGGAGGAACACCAGUGGCGAAGGCGGCUGCCUGGGCCUGGCCUGACGCUGAGGCGCGAAAGCGUGGGGAGCGAUCCGG
rnacentral:rRNA from 1 species